GACGAACGCUGGCGGCGUGCUUAACACAUGCAAGUCGAACGGAAAGGCCCUGCUUUUGUGGGGUGCUCGAGUGGCGAACGGGUGAGUAACACGUGAGUAACCUGCCCUUGACUUUGGGAUAACUUCAGGAAACUGGGGCUAAUACCGUAUAGGAGCUCCUGCUGCAUGGUGGGGGUUGGAAAGUUUCGGCGGUUGGGGAUGGACUCGCGGCUUAUCAGCUUGUUGGUGGGGUAGUGGCUUACCAAGGCUUUGACGGGUAGCCGGCCUGAGAGGGUGACCGGCCACAUUGGGACUGAGAUACGGCGCAGACUCCUACGGGAGGCAGCAGUGGGGAAUAUUGCACAAUGGGAGGAAGCCUGAUGCAGCAACGCCGCGUGCGGGAUGACGGCCUUCGGGUUGUAAACCGCUUUCGCCUGUGACGAAGCGUGAGUGACGGUAAUGGGUAAAGAAGCACCGGCUAACUACGUG
rnacentral:rRNA from 1 species